CCUGCCCCUAGAGGUGCUGCAGGCGUGGCUGUGUCACAUGCCCAUCAGCAGGUGGCAGAGAGGCGAGGCAGUAUCUACUUGGUGUUCUGACCUAUGACCAUCUGAAUGGCUAUUAGCCUAACAUU
rnacentral:snoRNA from 1 species